rnacentral:tRNA from 1 species
GUCAGGCUGGACGAGCGGUCUAAGGCGCUGCGUUCAGGUCGCAGUCUCCAAUGGAGGCGUGGGUUCAAAUCCCACUUCUGACA